rnacentral:rRNA from 1 species
ACUCAAAUGAAUAGACGGGGGCCCGCACAAGCGGUGGAGUAUGUGGUUUAAUUCGAUGCAACGCGAAGAACCUUACCAAGGCUUGACAUCCUUGGAACCCGGCUGAAAGGCUGGGGUGCCCUUCGGGGAGCCAAGAGACAGGUGGUGCAUGGCUGUCGUCAGCUCGUGUCGUGAGAUGUUGGAUUAAGUUCCGCAACGAGCGCAACCCUCGUUGCAUGUUGCCAGCAGUUCGGCUGGGCACUCAUGCGAGACUGCCGCAGCAAUGUGGAGGAAGGUGGGGAUGACGUCAAGUCAGCAUGCCCCGUACGCCUUGGGCUACACACAUACUACAAUCCAGGGGGCAAACAGUUGCCAACCCGUGAGGGGGAGCUAAUCUGAAAAGACCCUGGUCAGUGCAGAUUGUAGGCUGCAACUCGCCUACAUGAAGGCGGAAUCGCUAGUAACCGUCGGUCAGCAUUACGACGGUGAAUACGUUCCCGGGCCUUGCACACACCGCCCGU